CUGAUGUGAACCCACUAGGGUUUUCGCCUGAUCUUUCGAUGAGAGGCGCUGGAUAACUUGAUUAGUGAAUGGAGAUGACGUUCACGGCCCGACUACAGCCCUCAAGACUGCGCCUUAGCAACCGAUACACCGCCUCCAAUGGCUGUCACGAUCUUGUGGAGCGCAACACCCGGCCACUAGGGCACUCGUCCUGCAAGCAAUCGAAGAACCAGCAAGAACAAGUAGGACAAGUACUAAAUUACCAGAUGUAAAUGAAGGUUUCAAACUCAAUCUCUAAUGAAGUGGGGUUUCGAAAACAAGAAGACGGGCGGCUGGAUCAGCACGCGCGCUUACAAGCAAGUAGCGAAGGCUAAACUUUAUUUAAUCAAAACCCAGUUGUUCAUGGCGGCUCUAGAUGUAAAUAAAUAGAGGGGAGGACGACCAAAGGGGUGCUAGAGUCGUCCUCCAACCCUAGGACGCGUCCCUAAUGGACUCAACUUGAUACAUGGGCCA
rnacentral:lncRNA from 1 species